AGGGGAUCCAGUUUACCUGACGCAAGUUGACAACCGGCUCGCAGAAGGGAAAGCAGUCCUCGGACCAGCAUAUGUUGGGAAGGAGCUCAUUGUCGGCAAGAUGAUCAUGAGUGUUCCAUUCCUUGGGUUCCCUCAUAUCCUUCUCAAUGCAGACAUUCCACAUUUGGUCUUUGCCCGUGCAGCGGUAAUCAUCUAUGCUAUGGUGGCGAUGAUCUAUGGAAAGUUCAAGCACCGGCUUCCAGUGGACCUGUUUGCUUAUAUUUGAGCAGCUGUUGGAAAGCCAACUUUUUAAGUACCCCCAUGAUUGUAUUGUUUUUGGUAUGUCUGCAUGGCCCUUUGGUAUGACCUUAAGGGCAGGUUGUAAUGGAUAUGGUUGG